AGAAGAAGGAGAAGAAGGAGAAGAAGAAGAAGAGGAGGAGGAGGUGAUGAUGAUGAUUCUCCUUCUACUUUCCUUUCUGGAGUCUAGUCCAGGAGAAACAAGGGUCGCAGCUCUGAGGCAUGGACACUGAGUAUUGAGGCAACAGGAAUGAGCCACCAAUGACUUCUCAGAGAGAAAAGGGAGGAGUCAGCAGGUGAGACCCCUUCGGAACACUGCUGCGGUCCAGCGACAAGGGAGGCCUGCUUGGGAGGGCAGCUUUUGCUCCAGUA
rnacentral:lncRNA from 1 species